GACGAACGCUGGCGGCGUGCUUAACACAUGCAAGUCGAACGGAAAGGCCCUGCUUUUGUGGGGGGCUCGAGUGGCGAACGGGUGAGUAACACGUGAGUAACCUGCCCUUGACUUUGGGAUAACUUCAGGAAACUGGGGCUAAUACCGGAUAGGAGCUCCUGCUGCAUGGUGGGGGUUGGAAAGUUUCGGCGGUUGGGGAUGGACUCGCGGCUUAUCAGCUUGUUGGUGGGGUAGUGGCUUACCAAGGCUUUGACGGGUAGCCGGCCUGAGAGGGUGAACGGCCACAUUGGGACUGAGAUACGGCCCAGACUCCUACGGGAGGCAGCAGUGGGGAAUAUUGCACAAUGGGCGGAAGCCUGAUGCAGCAACGCCGCGUGCGGGAUGACGGCCUUCGGGUUGUAAACCGCUUUCGCCUGUGACGAAGCGUGAGUGACGGUAAUGGGUAAAGAAGCACCGGCUAACUACGUG
rnacentral:rRNA from 1 species